rnacentral:rRNA from 1 species
AGAGUUUGAUCCUGGCUCAGAUUGAACGCUGGCGGCAUGCUUUACACAUGCAAGUCGAACGGCAGCGCGGGGGCAACCCUGGCGGCGAGUGGCGAACGGGUGAGUAAUGCAUCGGAACGUAUCCUGUAAUGGGGGAUAACGUAGCGAAAGUUACGCUAAUACCGCAUACGCUCGAGAGAGGAAAGUGGGGGAUCGCAAGACCUCACGUUAUAGGAGCGGCCGAUGUCCGAUUAGCUAGUUGGUGGGGUAAAGGCCUACCAAGGCGACGACCGGUAGCUGGUCUGAGAGGAUGAUCAGCCACACUGGGACUGAGACACGGCCCAGACUCCUACGGGAGGCAGCAGUGGGGAAUUUUGGACAAUGGGCGAAAGCCUGAUCCAGCCAUGCCGCGUGCGGGAAGAAGGCCUUCGGGUUGUAAACCGCUUUAGUCCGGGAAAAAGGGGUGCGAGGAUAAUACCCUCGUGCUUUGAUGGUACUGGAAGAAUAAGCACCGGCUAACUACGUG